rnacentral:rRNA from 1 species
GAAAGUACCCCAGUGAGGGAGUGAAAUAGAACCUGAAACCAUUAGCCUACAAUCAUUCAGAGCCCUAUGGAGUAAUCCAGGGUGAUGGACUGCCUUUUGCAUAAUGAGCCUGCGAGUUGUGAUCAGUGGCAAGGUUAAGUUUAGUACGAAGCCGUAGCGAAAGCGAGUCUUAAUAGGGCGAAUUAGUCACUGGUUGCAGACCCGAAACUGAGUGAUCUAUCCAUGAGCAGGUUGAAGCUGGUGUAAAAGCUAGUGGAGGACCGAACCCGUGGCCAUUGAAACGGCUUGGGAUGACUUGUGGAUAGGGGUGAAAGGCCAAUCAAACUCAGUGAUAGCUGGUUCUCUCCGAAAUAUAUUUAGGUAUAGCGUCUUGUCGUAGCAUAUAGGGGUAGAGCACUGAUUGGGCUAGGGCUGCUUACCGCGGUACCAAACCCUGUCAAACUCCGAAUACUAUAUGUGUAAUCAAGGCAGUCAGGCGGUGGGUGAUAAAAUCAAUCGUCGAGAGGGG